rnacentral:rRNA from 1 species
GGGGGCUAGCGUUGUUCGGAUUUACUGGGCGUAACGCGCACGUAGGCGGACUAUUAAGUCAGGGGUGAAAUCCCGGGGCUCAACCCCGGAACUGCCUUUGAUACUGGUAGUCUUGAGUUCGAGAGAGGUGAGUGGAAUUCCGAGUGUAGAGGUGAAAUUCGUAGAUAUUAGGAAGAACACCAGUGGCGAAGGCGGCUCACUGGUCCGGUACUGACGCUGAGGUGCGAAAGCGUGGGGAGCAAACAGG